GUUAUAAUACCGGUUCCCGUACGAUCACUGAAGUUAAGAAACGUUGAGCCUGCUCAGUACCUAGAUGGGAUACGAUUUCGAAUACCAGGUACUGUAA